UGAUGGUGCUUGCAUCAUGAUUUACAUUUGAGUGAGUGGCGAACUGGUGAGUAACACGUGGGAAACCUGCCCAGAAGCGGGGGAUAACACCUGGAAACAGAUGCUAAUACCGCAUAACAACUUGGACCGCAUGGUCCGAGCUUGAAAGAUGGCUUCGGCUAUCACUUUUGGAUGGUCCCGCGGCGUAUUAGCUAGAUGGUGGGGUAACGGCUCACCAUGGCAAUGAUACGUAGCCGACCUGAGAGGGUAAUCGGCCACAUUGGGACUGAGACACGGCCCAAACUCCUACGGGAGGCAGCAGUAGGGAAUCUUCCACAAUGGACGAAAGUCUGAUGGAGCAACGCCGCGUGAGUGAAGAAGGGUUUCGGCUCGUAAAACUCUGUUGUUAAAGAAGAACAUAUCUGAGAGUAACUGUUCAGGUAUUGACGGUAUUUAACCAGAAAGCCACGGCUAACUACGUGCCAGCAGCCGCGGUAAUACGUAGGUGGCAAGCGUUGUCCGGAUUUAUUGGGCGUAAAGCGAGCGCAGGCGGUUUUUUAAGUCUGAUGUGAAAGCCUUCGGCUCAACCGAAGAAGUGCAUCGGAAACUGGGAAACUUGAGUGCAGAAGAGGACAGUGGAACUCCAUGUGUAGCGGUGAAAUGCGUAGAUAUAUGGAAGAACACCAGUGGCGAAGGCGGCUGUCUGGUCUGUAACUGACGCUGAGGCUCGAAAGUAUGGGUAGCAAACAGGAUUAGAUACCCUGGUAGUCCAUACCGUAAACGAUGAAUGCUAAGUGUUGGAGGGUUUCCGCCCUUCAGUGCUGCAGCUAACGCAUUAAGCAUUCCGCCUGGGGAGUACGGCCGCAAGGCUGAAACUCAAAGGAAUUGACGGGGGCCCGCACAAGCGGUGGAGCAUGUGGUUUAAUUCGAAGCUACGCGAAGAACCUUACCAGGUCUUGACAUACUAUGCAAAUCUAAGAGAUUAGACGUUCCCUUCGGGGACAUGGAUACAGGUGGUGCAUGGUUGUCGUCAGCUCGUGUCGUGAGAUGUUGGGUUAAGUCCCGCAACGAGCGCAACCCUUAUUAUCAGUUGCCAGCAUUAAGUUGGGCACUCUGG
rnacentral:rRNA from 2 species